CGCACAUUGCGCCCGCCAGUAUUCUGGCGGGCAUGCCUGUUCGAGCGUCAUUUCAACCCUCAAGCCCCCGGGCUUGGUGUUGGGGCUCGGCCCGUCCUCUGUGGCGCGCCGUCCCCGAAAUCUAGUGGCGGUCUCGCGAUAGCCUCCUCUGCGUAGUAGCAAUAUCUCGCACUGGGACUGAGCAAGGCCACGCCGUUAAACCCCCCACUUCUGAAAGGUUGACCUCGGAUCAGGUAGGAAUACCCGCUGAACUUAA
rnacentral:misc_RNA from 1 species